CCUACGGGAGGCUGCAGUGGGGGAUAUUGCACAAUGGUGGAAACCCUGAUGCAGCGACGCCGCGUGUGGGAAGACGGUCCUCUGGAUUGUAAACCACUGUCCCCAGGGACGAAGGUGACGGUACCUGCGGAGGAUGCUCCGACUAACAACGUGCCAGCAGCCGCGGUAAUAUGUAGGGAGCGAGCGUUGUCCGGAAUUACUGGGUGUAAAGGGAGCGUAGGCGGUGAUGAAAGUUGGGGGUCAAAACUACCGGCUCAACUGGUAGUCGAACUCAAAACUGCAGCUCUUGAGUGAAGUAGAGGCAGGCGGAAUUCCUAGUGUAGCGGUGAAAUGCGUAGAUAUCAGGAGGAACACCAGUGGCGAAGGCGGCCUGCUGGGUCUUUACUGACGCUGAGGCUCGAAAGUGUGGGGAGCAAACAGGAUUAGAUACCCCAGUAGUC
rnacentral:rRNA from 1 species